GACGAACGCUGGCGGCGUGCUUAACACAUGCAAGUCGAACGGAAAGGCCCUGCUUGCAGGGUACUCGAGUGGCGAACGGGUGAGUAACACGUGGGUGAUCUGCCCUGCACUUCGGGAUAAGCUUGGGAAACUGGGUCUAAUACCGGAUAGGAGCCAUCUUUAGUGUGGUGGUUGGAAAGUUUUUUCGGUGUAGGAUGAGCUCGCGGCCUAUCAGCUUGUUGGUGGGGUAAUGGCCUACCAAGGCGGCGACGGGUAGCCGGCCUGAGAGGGUGUACGGCCACAUUGGGACUGAGAUACGGCCCAGACUCCUACGGGAGGCAGCAGUGGGGAAUAUUGCACAAUGGGCGCAAGCCUGAUGCAGCGACGCCGCGUGGGGGAUGAAGGCCUUCGGGUUGUAAACUGCUUUCGCUAGGGACGAAGCUUUGUUGUGACGGUACCUAGAUAAGAAGCACCGGCUAACUACGUG
rnacentral:rRNA from 1 species